UGCUCUGUAUCGCUUUAAAACAAUAUGCAUUUAGCCAGUUAAUGAAUCUGGCCUUUAAUUGCAACUCUAUACACUAGCCUAUUUGAACAGCCCUCCCCCAGAUUCAUACACGAGUAUGUAUAUUGUGCUUGAUUGAGGGCAAGACCACGACAAGACACACGCUGUGUGCGCGGGCCUCAGUGGAGGGACCCAAAAUAGUAAGGUAGGCCUAUCAUAUGGGCACGCAAUUCAUUAAUUAAUAUCAACUAGCACGCGUGCGCGCACACACACACACACAUUCCAGCUUAUGUACGUAUUAUCUAAACUUAUUGUUUUACGCAGCAAUUAGGUUGUCUGUGCCUGAUAUAUGACAACACAUUUAUGUUAUUGAAAACACAUUCCAUUUUUAUUAGAUAUAUUUUAUUUUACUUUAAAGCUUAGAAGGUGCCCUCUCCACAGCAAUCUAAGCUACCCUGAAGAUUAAAGCAUCUUGGAAGUUAAAUAAAUCAAAGCAACAAAAAAAUUUAAAUCAUUUGGCCCCAGUUUUGUUCACAACUCACCUCGAAUUUUUUGUGUUCAUGGAAAACAUGUUUCAGACCCGAACGUUUAUUUCCUUUUAUAAAAUAUCUUGUUUGUCCAAGGAAACCAAAGCUAAAAUAUAUAUAUUAUUUCAAAUCUUACAAGUAUUCCGUGAACUAAAAAUGGCUGUUGGUUUGUUUUCAGUAAAUACGCUUUAUGCACAAUUUUGUGUUUUAGAGAUAGUGGUAGUUUGUUGAUUGUGGUUGUUUGUUUCAGCUGUGUGAUUUAUUACGAUUUAUUAUGAAUUUGCAUACCUAACACAGAAAACAAGAAAACUGAGAACCAUAAACAAUGGAGACAGCCGGUUGAUUUGUGGCAAAAUAAUCCAAUGUACAGGAGAAAAGCAGCGCGAGGAAUGACAUCUGAAACGAUGCAGUAUGACAGUGUCAACACCUGGAACUAGAAUGAGAAUACUAUCAACGCGUAAUAGAUCUUGGAGCGGCGGCCGAUAGUUCUUGAUGAAGUGACAUUUACAGCGUCACUUCGCAAGCGUUGUUGAUGAGAGACAAAGCAGUUUCUUCCCAUCCACAAGCUCAAGUGUGAUAAUACUGCUGACACCUGAACAGUACCAAAGAGUGAAAAUAAAUAAAUAUUUAUUUACAUGUCGUAAUAGUAUUUACAGGAAUAAAAACACGAUUUUCUUUUGCUAAUGGCUUGCUUAACAGAUUGAUAAAAUCAAAACACAACUAGCCCAUGGUUAACAUCAGGAAAUUAUUAUUAUUAUUAUUAUUAUUAUUAUUAUUAUUAUUAUUAUUAUUAUUAUUAUUAGAAAAUGAUCGUGUGCCCUACAACCUAUUUUAAAAUAAUUUAUAACAACAGAAGUAUCCUCUCAAAAAUAGGCUUACUGUAUACGCAUUUAACUUAUCGAUCUAAUGUAUAUUCCAAAAAAGUUAGGUAAAAUAAACAAACAAACUUUAAUGUCGAAAUGUUUAUAUUAGGCUACUUCAUGAACUUAUCCAUAGCCUACUGAUUAAACCUUAAAAUCUUAAGUAGGGCAUUCGCCCAACACCCAAACAAGAUAUACGAAAUAGCGAGAAAAUAUUUUUUACACAAAUUAGUUUGUUAGUGAUUUGUUUGGGAUGUUUGUUAUUGUGUAUACUGUUAAUCUGAAGAGGAUGUGAAUACAUCAUCUGUAAUUAAAUAUUUGAAUGAAAAUAGUUGCUAAAACGGCACUAAAGUAGCAGGUUUAGAAACAGUGUGACAAUAUUGCUAUUAUUCUGAAACAAACACAUAUGAGCUGGGAUAUAACUUCCAUAAUAACCCUGAUAACAUUAAGCGUAUUAAAAUAGGCUGCUCAUUUCGUAUGUAAUGUAAUUCUCUUUAACAAAAUAAAUCCGUUUUCCUCAAGGCCUUCAGCUUAAUGCAAAGUUUGUCCCACAAAAAAAUAGAAUUGAGGCGAUUGGAAGUAGCCUAAUGGAGGAUGAGGGAUUGAAGCGACGAUAGAAUAAGUAUUUAUUAUAUUCUGUUGAAUGGCAAUUUUGUUGACCAACUUGUUGCGCUUGCGAUAUCAGGAAUACCGUAGAGGAUGGCAGUAAAUAUCGCAGCAUUGAACAGGAUUAAGUCUAUGUCGUGGGACUUCUUUUGGAAUUGACACUUCUCCAAGCAUGAGUGGAAAUAUCCUACAAAAACACAAAUACUUGAAUUCAGUCCAACGGUAGGUUUCUAUGAGUUUAAGCACGUUUUAUUUCUUUCGUUUCCUACAUAACAUUAUGAGGGUUACAGGAAGGAAUAAAAAAUGUUGCGUAUGACUCAGAGCUUGCUUUAAUUCUAGUACACAGGACAUUGCGGUUGUAUGCGAUCUGGACCUAACCUAAGUAUAAAAAUGGCAGUAUAUUUAAAAAGCAUUCAUCAAGUGGCCACAGAUUUAGCUCUCCCCAUUUAAAGCUGUUAAAAAAAUAAUAAUUUUAAUGAUGACACCCAUAUGCCUAUAGGUUGGAGAAAACUUCCUUCAGAUGGAAGGAUCAUUGACCUUUGCCCUGAAUCUGACCUUUGAUGGUGGCUCUCUUUUGUUUUGUGUGCCACCUUUUACUCGCCGCAAAUCAAAGCCCAGCUCCCAUCACUUUCUGUUUCUACGAAUUGUAACAGACAGCACCUGUGAUGUUUAGAUAUGUGCAUGUCUUCACAUAAGCUCGGUCAUUACCCUGGUAUACAACGCAUCCAACCGUACCGUCUUCCCCCUCCAACCCUGUGCACUGCUAGUGUUUUGUUUUGUUUACUCCCGCGUGUGUUAUUAAUAUUCACCACCUCUCCGACUGGGUCUCUGCUGAACAUGUUGUACCCCAUAUGAGAUCAUGGAGGGGACCAGGCUUCUGAUGUGCUCCACAAUGCCACAGCGUAUUAGCAUCUCUUUAGCAUCAAACAAAACCUUGUGCUUUUCUCCCUGCGCACGCACAAAGGACAACAGGACAGAGAGGAGCUGCUCUGUAACGGAUCUCCUUUUACCCGAAUCUCUCCGCUAAACUCCCAACAAUGCCAAGAGCCGCGGGCCCAAACUCGGGGCCGAGCGGGCACAAAGGAACGGGGGGCUCUUCUGCGCCGACAAGUCCCCUGGCUGAACCAGCCUCUCUUUCCUCCAGUUCUGAAGAGGGAGGAACUUCAAAGUGGGUUCAGGUAAUUAGCAGCUGAAGGGAAUCUAAUCUAAACCAUCAGCCUUGCUUUGCACCCAGGUCUGCUGCCACAGCCCGCUAACUGGGGAGCGGCAAUUCCCCGUAGCUCCCAAAUCUGCUUCCUCUGAACCGCCGUGCCAGGCCUGCAGUUAUCACAUCUGCAUUUCAAACACACUGUCUCUGGCAUUAAUUAUUAAUUAGCCUACAGUCACCCCGGAGGAUCAGGAUUCAGACUGCACAUACUUAUUCAUUGACCUCUACUGUGGACUUCUUUUUUUUAUUCACUCCUUUCUACUAUAUGGGAAAUCCCCAGCCAGAAUACCUAAAACCAUGUUGGGGUUUUUUUUUUUUUUUUUUUUACACAAGGAUCUCAGUCCCUGCCCGUUUUAAGCCUUAAGCGCAUAUCUGUCCUGAGUCUGGUGCUGGAGGACGGUCUCCCGGAAGUUAAAAAGGCUGAGCAGACUGCUGCUUAUUUCCCUUGGUUCCUCAAAUGCCCACAACGCAGGGCUGGAGACAGAUGAUGAGUGUAUAACAAGUAUGCUCACUGAAAAUAUACAGGCAUAAACAACUAUAACAGCGUCUAUACAAUAUCACAUAUGAUACUGUACUAUAUACAGGCAUUUCUACUCACCAAACCAUAUGCCAACGCACAUGUGCACUUGGAAUAUAGUUUUCCAGCUCCUUGCCCUUAUCACAGUGUGUGAUGUGGUGGUUAAGGUUUAGCUGAAAGGAGAGGGGGGGGGGGGGGGUGUUCUGGGGCCAAGAUCAUCACUGGCUCAUGCCCAUUUCUACAAGAGACCCAGACCCCAUGCCUGAGGGGAGGAAAUGGAUUUCCCACACCGUUUAGUCCCGGGCUUGUGGGUCAGCAUUAGCAGACCAUGCCAUUUAAUGGGCACCUGCCUGAGGUUCUCUUUGUGGGGAACAGAUGCAUUGUGCCUGUACGGACAAAAAACUGUCAAAAGACUUCAUCGGCCACCUGGAGUUCUCUCCAAUAACCCAGAGUUGACUUCACUUCCCCUGGAGUAUCUGUGAUUGGUUUCUGUGCCUUUACCGGGUUACGCGAGAUUGGCUAGGAACGUAGCAGACAGAUACUUGAUGAAAAUAAUGGCUGAGGGACAUUUUAAUAGGCCAUUUUUCUUGAGAAAUUUGUGACUGCAAAUCAACUAACAAUAUGUCAUUUUAUGUUCUUUUGAAUUUCCAUUUGAAUGUACCUUUGAAUCUAAGUGAAAAUAAAAUGUUUCCAGUCAAGAA